GGUCGACUCGUCUCUGCUCAUCGUGUCCCUGGUUGUCUCGUCUCUGCUCGCCGUCUCGUCCCAGCUCAUCGACUGGUCGUUUAGUCUUGGCUCAUCGCCUCUGCUCAUCUCGUCUCUGCUCAUCGCCUCUGCUCAAGUGGCCCAAUUUUCCAUGCUUUUCCAGCACCUUGCAUCUGUGGUAAAUUAAUAAGAAUAUAGACACAUAUUCAAAAUGAUUAUUUCACUCCACAAUAAAAGUGAUGGAAUUGGGUCAUGAAGGACCAAAAUUGUGCUCAGUAAUAGUCACUGUCACUCACACAAGUGGGACUCUUGGACUUAUUUUACUUGUCCAUCUAAUGAGCAAACUGUGCAGCCAACAGGGUGUUUUUGUUCAAGAGAUACUGUCAGUAUUUCAAAUGUAUGUAGCAUGAUCAUUUUACUGCUGAAUCAGGAAAUCAGUUUGCAAACAGCAACAAUAGAGCUCCAAAUGUCAUGUGACUCAGUUUGCUCACACCACAACGGUUCAAAAAUGAACGGUACCAGUGCUGGUUUUAAGAUUUAACAAUCCACGAAGCACUUUAAAUACACAGAGACCGAGGAAUAGAUCACCAAACCUGACAGACUAUCUGCUCCUUAUACUGCCACCUGGUGUUUUUUAAGUAUGUUACGACAAGCACACGGAGCUUUCAAAAGCGAUGAUGAAAAAUGCAAUUGAUUGACUUGAUAUUUUUCAGUCAAGCUCGAGGUAGGAUCGCCUCUGCUCAUCGUCCCUGGUCGUCUCGUCUCUGCUCAUCGUGUCCCUGGUCGUCUCGUCUCUGCGCGUCAUCCCUGCUCAUCGACUGAUCGUCUCGUCUCUGGUCAUCAACAGCUUGAGGUUUUUGUUUCCAUUUUUGUGAUUUUGUCAAGUUUCCACGGUUACCAAAAAAAAAAGGAACACACGCCACAAGCUGGACUGGAAAGUGUGCUCAACAAAACAAGAGUUAGGGUACACUUCAACUGUGACAGACAGAAUGUUGUCCAGAAAAUCACAUUGGAUGAUUUUUAAACAAUUUAUUUGUAUAUUCUUGUGGGAAAAAAAAUAUUUGGACACCUACAAACGAGCAGGAAUUCUGGCUCUACCACACUUGUAAGUUCUUCUUUAAGAAGCUCUUCUAUCCUCCACUCGUUGUCUGUAUUAGUGUCACCUGUUUGAACUGGUUAUCUGUAUAAAGGACACCUGUCCAUACCUUCAAACAGUCAGACUCCAACCUCCACGAUGGCCAAGACCAGAGAGCUCUCUAAAGACACCAGGGACCAAAUUGUAGACCUGCACAAGGCUGGGAUGAGCUACAGAACAACAGGCAAGCAGCUUGAUCUCACCUCGUGGGGUACAAAUGAUCUUGAGAACGGUGAAGAAUUAGCCCAGAACUACACGGGGGGGACCUGGUCAAUGACCUGACGAGAGCUGGGACCACAGUCACAAAGGUUACGGUGUUUACGUUCAGCUGGAGGGAGGACGUCCGGCUGGGCGACCCCAUGUGCGCCAAGAAGGUCUGCUUCGACGCCAUCUCCCACAACAGUCCCGUCGCUCUCCACGACUGUCACGGUAUGAAGGGCAACCAGCUGUGGCGCUACAGAAAAGACAAGACCCUGUUCCACCCGGUCAGUAACAGCUGCGUGGACACGAACGCCAGCGAGCGGCGAGUCUUCGCGAACACGUGCGACGCGUGGUCCCCGAGUCAGCAGUGGCUGUUUGAGAGGACCAACGGCACCGUGCUGGAGAACUUCAACCGCGCCUCCAUCUGAGGCCGCCCGGUGUCUGAGAGCCGCUGAACUGAUGCUGCUGGGAAAACAAGGAUCUUCACAUCGCCUCUGCUUUCCCCUUUUUUCUCUCUUUUUUUUUUAAGUGACAGCUGCUUCUCUUUGGGAAGAAUAUUUUUUUUCUACCGACGUUGCACCUGUAAAAGUGUAUUUAGACGUUCAACCUCAGCCUCAACUGAGGAACUGGAAUUGUGUGAUAUUUUACUUUCUCUUCUGAAAAUUGUGAAAAGAAAUAAAGAGGUUUCUAUAUUUGGAUGAAAAUGUGUUUGUGACGAUUGAAAACCUCACUUGUUUUUGACGAAAGGUCAACAUAAAUUUAUAAAACAUGGUUUUGUUGUCGUUUAUGGCCUUUUUUGUUGUGUUAAAGCGCAAUUAGGGCCAGAUUUUUGGGGAAACAAACAAAAUAUAAUAUAAAAUGCCAGAAAACUAUUUAAUCUCAGUUAAAAAAAAAUAAAGAUUAUGGGGAAUCUAACUUUAAUCUCACUUUAAUCCUUAUAAAACCCCAUUGUUUGUUGUUUUCAGACUAUUUUCUUGUGUUAAAAAGGUACAAAAGAGGAUUAGGGCCACAUAAGAACUUUUCCCAGAAUAUUAACUUUAAUCUCUGUAAAAAAAAUAAAAAUAAAAAAGUCAGGAUUUGAUUUUACUUCUUUGGGAUUUGAGAUUAAAGUCAGAAUUCAGACUUUUUUUGGGGGCCAAAUUUUAAAAAUCAGAAUUAUGGGGACUUUAUUUACUUUAUAGUAGAUUACAGCCACAUGUGAACAUUGUUUUUGGAUAAAGAAUAAAAAGGUCCAGAAUUCCAACUGUUCUCAAUAUUCUGACUUUAAUCUCAGAAAAGAGAAAACAGGAUAAAGACUAUUUUUCGUCAGAAAUAAUCUGAGAUUAAAGUCAGAAUUCCGAUUUGUUUCUGAUUUGAAUUUAAGACAAAGACCUAAAAAGGGAUCAUUUCGGCAGCUUUUAUGAGAUGAGGGGGAAAGCACGUCCAGCAGGCGGCAGCAUUUCCUGCAGGUGGUGUUUUUUUUCUGUUUUAGCAAAAAUGUUUUUAAAUAACAAUUUCAGAUGCCAUGUUUCUUUUAUUUGUCCAGCGAGGACAUGAAUGUUGAUUAUGCACAGGUGGAGCUGCUCCUGCACAAAGACAGCCUUUGUGUACUUUCCGUGACUUGGUACAUUCCACUCCUCCCCUCUGAGUCGAUCUAUUUGGAAUGUUCCACUUCCUUUGUCGGAGGCGGAGCUUCUUCUACGCAGAGUCAGAAACGGGAGGAGGACGAACGCGGACGAACAUGUGGACAACCGUGUGGUAACUGCUGUUUAAAAAUGAUCCACACAUUUCUCUAGAUUCUCUGUUGACGCUCUGUUCACAACCGCUGUUCAUGUACGACCUGAGCGAUCUGAACACAGGUGUUCAGAUUACACCUGCUAAUGCAACUGCUAACGUGACGUCACUGCUCCGCAACAAACACACUUGUGUUGUCAAUGCGAUAGUAUGUCGUAAAAACUGUCAAACUAUGAACUUUCCGAGUUUAGUAUGUCAUCAAAAACGUUAACAUAUAAAUUGUCCACAUAUGUCAAAGAAUGUCCUCAACAAAAACCAUUAAAAUUGACUUGGUGUCAAAUACAUUAUUAUGUUAUAUGACGUCAUACUGUCAACAACUGUCCAAAAUGUCGUCGUAUAAUAUGUCAACAAAAAGUUAAUAUAUAAACUAUCUGGAAGUGUCCUAGUAUAGUAAAAUAUAUUAUUUAGUAAACUGUCCAAUUAUAAACUGUCAUGUAUGUCAACAAAAAAUGUCACUAGACCAUUAAAACUUAGUUAAGAAUGAGUAUCUAU